GACGAACGCUGGCGGCGUGCUUAACACAUGCAAGUCGAACGGUGAAAGCGGAGCUUGCUCCGCUGGAUCAGUGGCGAACGGGUGAGUAACACGUGGGCAACCUGCCCCUGACUUCGGGAUAACUCCUCGAAAGAGGUGCUAAUACCGGAUACGAAUCCUGCAGGCAUCUGCGGGCUUGGAAAGUUUUUCGGUCAGGGAUGGGCCCGCGGCCUAUCAGCUUGUUGGUGAGGUAGUGGCUCACCAAGGCGACGACGGGUAGCCGGCCUGAGAGGGCGACCGGCCACACUGGGACUGAGACACGGCCCAGACUCCUACGGGAGGCAGCAGUGGGGAAUAUUGCACAAUGGGCGCAAGCCUGAUGCAGCGACGCCGCGUGAGGGAUGAAGGUCUUCGGAUUGUAAACCUCUUUCAGUAGGGACGAAGCGAAAGUGACGGUACCUAAAGAAGAAGCACCGGCUAACUACGUGCCAGCAGCCGCCGUAA
rnacentral:rRNA from 1 species